GUUAAAACAACCGUUCCCGUAUGAUCGUAGACGUUAAGCAAAGUCGAACCUGGUCAGUAUCUAGAUGGGUGACCACUUGGGAAACCAGAUAUUGCAAG